ACGUACACUCCUACGGGAGGCAGCAGUGGGGAAUAUUGCACAAUGGGCGCAAGCCUGAUGCAGCCAUGCCGCGUGUAUGAAGAAGGCCUUCGGGUUGUAAAGUACUUUCAGCGGGGAGGAAGGCGAUAAGGUUAAUAACCUUGUCGAUUGACGUUACCCGCAGAAGAAGCACCGGCUAACUCCGUGCCAGCAGCCGCGGUAAUACGGAGGGUGCAAGCGUUAAUCGGAAUUACUGGGCGUAAAGCGCACGCAGGCGGUCUGUCAAGUCGGAUGUGAAAUCCCCGGGCUCAACCUGGGAACUGCAUUCGAAACUGGCAGGCUAGAGUCUUGUAGAGGGGGGUAGAAUUCCAGGUGUAGCGGUGAAAUGCGUAGAGAUCUGGAGGAAUACCGGUGGCGAAGGCGGCCCCCUGGACAAAGACUGACGCUCAGGUGCGAAAGCGUGGGGAGCAAACAGGAUUAGAAACCCUUGUAGUCC
rnacentral:rRNA from 1 species